CUGAGCUCAGCCCAAACGGAGACUCCUUGGAGCCCAGAGGCAGCUGCUCAGAGUGCGCCUGGGUCCGUACUGCCGGCCCUGUAGUCUCUAGAACCAGAUACUGCAUCUUGCGGGGGGCGGAGGGUUUCCCUCCGCCUGCCUGACCCACAAAGCCUGGGAGAUGGAGUCCCUGCAGUUUGCUUGUCUCUGUGAACUCUGCGACUGUGGUCGACACAAGCACCACAAGAACUGCAAGAAGUGGAGCAGGCCAGCGCCUCAGGACUGCAGGAGGCCCCAACUGUCUCAUUACAAGGCAACUUACACCCAGCCACCAAACGUGCAUCCUCGAAGCAGCAAGAGGCCGCUCCGCACCCCUCCACACCCCAACCCCCCAGCCAUGGCCUUCAGCACCACGCAGCGGGCAGAGUUCAUCCCCUGGGAGCUGGGCCAGAGGACCAAGCCGCAUGUCUGGGAGGCGUAUCAGUGCCCACAGGAGCCCUUCCAAAGCCAGAGUCUGUAUCGCCUCCACUUCCCGCCCAGGGAGCCAGUCAUGACCACCCUCCGGCAGCCCCCAACUCCCAGGCAGCCCAACAGCUCUGGUUUCCCCCACACCACCACCACCAUCACGGAGAGCUACAAAGGAUGGCGAGCGGAACGCCCAGCCUGCUAUGGAGAGCCGCCAGCCCUGGCAGGUGCUCUCCUGUCCCCUGACCAGGCAGCCGAGAUAGAAAGCACCAUGCAGCGAGAGUUCACAGAGAAACGCAUCCCCAAACCAGAGCUCGUCAAAGGAGCCCAGGUUCAGCUCACCAUUGAAGGUGAUCAUGACAUGAUGACCACCCACCAGAGCACCUACCAGUCUGUGCCCUUGGAGAAGCGGGUAGCCCAGUCACAUAAUAAAGGAAUAGUGCCAGCAGGGAAACGAGCACAGGUGGAAUACAUGACCAAGUACCAGUGA
rnacentral:lncRNA from 1 species